rnacentral:lncRNA from 1 species
CAUGAGAGAUCUCACAUGAUUUCUUUUUGGUGCAUAAGUUCUUUUCUUCCAUUUUUUUCCUUGCCAUACUUACCUAUUUUGAUAAGAUCUGAUCUUAUCCCUUUUGAGGCAUGAGGACUUUCUUAGUGUGCGAUAAAUUUUUGAGAAAUAGAUGGGUGGCGUGCAUGAUAUAUGAAAGGCCUUCUUUCUUGCCACACAUAACCUUUUCAACACCCCCUUUCUUUCUCCCCUUCAUCCCCAAUGCCUAAGAUCUGAUGGUGAUUAGAUCUAAG